UACAGAGGUCCCAAGCGUUGUUCGGAUUCACUGGGCGUAAAGGGUGCGUAGGUGGCCAGGUAAGUUUGGUGUGAAAGCUCGGAGCUUAACUCCGAAAAGUCAUUGAAUACUAUCUGGCUGGAGGGUCGGAGGGGAGACUGGAAUUCUCGGGUGUAGCAGUGAAAUGCGUAGAUAUCGAGAGGAACACCAGUGGCGAAGGCGAGUCUCUGGACGACUCCUGACACUGAGGCACGAAAAGCUAAGGGGAGCAAACCAGG
rnacentral:rRNA from 1 species